UACAGAGACUGCAAGCGUUAUUCGGAUUCAUUGGGCGUAAAGGGUGCGCAGGUGGCCAAGUGUGUUAGGCGUGAAAGCCCGGGGCUUAACCCCGGAAUUGCACCUAAAACUACUUGGCUAGAGCAUUGGAGAGGGGAGCAGAAUUCAUGGUGUAGCAGUGAAAUGCGUAGAUAUCAUGAGGAAUACCAGAGGCGAAGGCGGCUCCCUGGACAAUUGCUGACACUCAGGCACGAAAGCGUGGGGAGCAAAAGGG
rnacentral:rRNA from 1 species